GGGGUCGACAUGGCUUCGACGGGGGUUGCAAAGCGAAUGAGGGCAUACCGGGAUCUCAGUCACCCCGUGAAACGCUGAAGCAAUAUAGUCGCAAACGACGAUACUUACGCUCUGGCUGCUUAAUGCACCGGACUCUGCACAUUCUCUCCCAUCGGGAUGGUCAGGCAACUGACAGCAGAGUCAUUCAGAUGGGAUCGCGUCAGACCGGGUUACUUGGCCGGGCGUUAAAUCCAAGGUAACUCGCCAAAGUGAAGCCUGUCGGUCGGCGUCGCGGAGGUUAAAUCCAAAUGGCCAGACUAAGUAUGUAGAACUCAUCGUAGAGGAUUUCCGGACGCGGGUUCGAUUCCCGCCGACUCCACCA
rfam:Laribacter hongkongensis HLHK9, complete genome.